AAGAAAACCCUCAAAGAGCACAAGAAACAUAGGUGCCUGACACAGUUGACAGAGGGCUGACAACCCUCUAAUACAGCUGCUGGUGCACUCAGGUUAUCACAAACUGUUGAGCAGAGUUCCUGUGCUAUACCAAUGGGGAACAUGGGCUCUUACAGCACCUGAAAGGGCAGCAGCCUGGACAUGAACACCAAUUGCACGCUGGAGAGUCUGUGGAAGGAGGCGUCCCAGCCUGGGUGAAAUAUACGUAGAACCCCCAUGUUUAUCCUGAAAGCAAAAUCUCUGCUUAUAA